rnacentral:sRNA from 1 species
CCAGGAACCAAUUCUAACUAUCAAAUGCAUUUGCUGAAAAAAACCCUGCAGAAAUGCGAAAAGAAUGGGUGGAUGGAACAGAUCUCUGGGAAAGGGUUCAGUGGCACCUUCCAGCUCUGUUUUCCCUAUUAUCCCAGCCCAGGAGUUCUGUUUCCGAAGAAAGAGCCAGAUGAUUCUAGAGAUGAGGAUGAAGAUGAAGAUGAGUCAUCAGAAGAAGACUCUGAGGAUGAAGAGCCGCCACCUAAGAGAAGGUUGCAGAAGAAAACCCCAGCCAAGUCCCCAGGGAAGGCCGCAUCUGUGAAACAGAGAGGGUCCAAACCUGCACCUAAAGUCUCAGCUGCCCAGCGAGGGAAAGCUAGGCCCUUGCCCAAGAAAGCACCUCCUAAGGCCAAAACUCCUGCCAAGAAGACCAGACCCUCACCCACAGUCAUCAAGAAACCUAGUGGUGGCUCCUCAAAGAAGCCUGCAACCAGUGCAAGAAAGGAAGUAAAAUUGCCGGGCAAGGGCAAAUCCACCAUGAAGAAGUCUUUCAGAGUGAAAAAGUAAAUUUUAUAGGAAAAAAGGGUAUCAUGAUGAAAUUCAAAAUCUUAUUUUCUAAGCACUUUUGAUAUCAAGCAAGUGGCUUCCUUUUUGAGAUAU